AUGAGGACAAUGAUGGGUCCUCCUCGGCCAUGGCCAAUUGUGCGAGAUUCACCAGGUUGCGGGGCUUGGUCAGCAGUGUGUGUGGCCAGUGGUUGUAGUGCACUGAAGCGGAGAGGCAGUGCCGUCGUUGACCAUGGAUUCAGAUCCUGGGAGUUCUGUCAGGAUAGGGAGGCAAAAGGAAAAUGGGCUGUGGGGUCACUGGCAGACGACGUGCUUGGUUCCGCAGGUCGUAUUGUCAAAGUGCCAGUGAAUUACCUGCCUUCAGGCUCUUCUCCUAUCAAGGGUGACAUCACCUGGGAUUGCUGUGGUCUUACUGAAGAAGCUGACAACCUUGGCUAUUUGUCUAUGAUGUCGACUGAUGCCAUCAAGACCAUUGGUAAUGACACGUGUGAUGAUGAGUCUAACUACGCCGAAUAUGAUGAGUUUCCAGGCUUACUAUUCAUCUGA
rnacentral:rRNA from 1 species